rnacentral:rRNA from 1 species
UGGGGAAUAUUGCACAAUGGACGCAAGUCUGAUGCAGCGACGCCGCGUGAGGGAUGACGGCCUUCGGGUUGUAAACCUCUUUCGCCAGGGACGAAGCGUAAGUGACGGUACCUGGAGAAGAAGCGCCGGCCAACUACGUGCCAGCAGCCGCGGUAAGACGUAGGGCGCAAGCGUUGUCCGGAUUUAUUGGGCGUAAAGAGCUCGUAGGCGGCUUGUUGCGUCGUCCGUGAAAACCUGGGGCUCAACUUCAGGUCUGCGGACGAUACGGGCAGGCUGGAGUUCGGUAGGGGAGACUGGAAUUCCUGGUGUAGCGGUGAAAUGCGCAGAUAUCAGGAGGAACACCGGUGGCGAAGGCGGGUCUCUGGGCCGAUACUGACGCUGAGGAGCGAAAGCGUGGGGAGCGAA